rnacentral:rRNA from 1 species
GGGGAAUAUUGGACAAUGGGGGCAACCCUGAUCCAGCAAUGCCGCGUGUGUGAAGAAGGUUUUCGGAUUGUAAAGCACUUUCGACGGGGACGAUGAUGACGGUACCCGUAGAAGAAGCCCCGGCUAACUUCGUGCCAGCAGCCGCGGUAAUACGAAGGGGGCUAGCGUUGCUCGGAAUGACUGGGCGUAAAGGGCGUGUAGGCGGUUUACACAGUCAGAUGUGAAAUCCCCGGGCUUAACCUGGGAGCUGCAUUUGAUACGUGUAGACUAGAGUGUGAGAGAGGGUUGUGGAAUUCCCAGUGUAGAGGUGAAAUUCGUAGAUAUUGGGAAGAACACCGGUGGCGAAGGCGGCAACCUGGCUCAUGACUGACGCUGAGGCGCGAAAAGCGUGGGGA